UUAUUGUUAGUUGCCAGCAUUCAGUUGGGCACUCUAGCGAGACUGCCGGUGACAAACCGGAGGAAGGCGGGGACGACGUCAGAUCAUCAUGCCCCUUAUGACCUGGGCUACACACGUGCUACAAUGGCGUAUACAACGAGUUGCCAACCUGCGAAGGUGAGCUAAUCUCUUAAAGUACGUCUCAGUUCGGACUGCAGUCUGCAACUCGACUGCACGAAGUCGGAAUCGCUAGUAAUCGCGGAUCAGCACGCCGCGGUGAAUACGUUCCCGGGUCUU
rnacentral:rRNA from 1 species